AAGAAGACAAAACCUGGAUUUCUGUGUCCAACGUUUGACUGUCCGUCUUAUAUGAAAUUUUUUAUAAUUAGUAUUUUCAUUGUUGUUAGAUGAUAAAACAUGAUUAAUACUUUAUACGUGACUUGUCUUUUAUUUUUUUCAUAAUUUUUUUUAAAUAAGAUAGACGGUCAAACAUUGAACACGGAAACCCAUG
rnacentral:pre_miRNA from 1 species